CAGGCUUAACACAUGCAAGUCGAGGGGCAGCAUGGUCUUAGCUUGCUAAGGCCGAUGGCGACCGGCGCACGGGUGAGUAACACGUAUCCAACCUGCCGUCUACUCUUGGACAGCCUUCUGAAAGGAAGAUUAAUACAAGAUGGCAUCAUGAGUCCGCAUGUUCACAUGAUUAAAGGUAUUCCGGUAGACGAUGGGGAUGCGUUCCAUUAGAUAGUAGGCGGGGUAACGGCCCACCUAGUCUUCGAUGGAUAGGGGUUCUGAGAGGAAGGUCCCCCACAUUGGAACUGAGACACGGUCCAAACUCCUACGGGAGGCAGCAGUGAGGAAUAUUGGUCAAUGGGCGAGAGCCUGAACCAGCCAAGUAGCGUGAAGGAUGACUGCCCUAUGGGUUGUAAACUUCUUUUAUAAAGGAAUAAAGUCGGGUAUGGAUACCCGUUUGCAUGUACUUUAUGAAUAAGGAUCGGCUAACUCCGUGCCAGCAGCCGCGGUAAUACGGAGGAUCCGAGCGUUAUCCGGAUUUAUUGGGUUUAAAGGGAGCGUAGAUGGAUGUUUAAGUCAGUUGUGAAAGUUUGCGGCUCAACCGUAAAAUUGCAGUUGAUACUGGAUAUCUUGAGUGCAGUUGAGGCAGGCGGAAUUCGUGGUGUAGCGGUGAAAUGCUUAGAUAUCACGAAGAACUCCGAUUGCGAAGGCAGCCUGCUAAGCUGCAACUGACAUUGAGGCUCGAAAGUGUGGGUAUCAAACAGGAUUAGAUACCCUGGUAGUCCACACGGUAAACGAUGAAUACUCGCUGUUUGCGAUAUACUGCAAGCGGCCAAGCGAAAGCGUUAAGUAUUCCACCUGGGGAGUACGCCGGCAACGGUGAAACUCAAAGGAAUUGACGGGGGCCCGCACAAGCGGAGGAACAUGUGGUUUAAUUCGAUGAUACGCGAGGAACCUUACCCGGGCUUAAAUUGCAGAUGAAUUACGGUGAAAGCCGUAAGCCGCAAGGCAUCUGUGAAGGUGCUGCAUGGUUGUCGUCAGCUCGUGCCGUGAGGUGUCGGCUUAAGUGCCAUAACGAGCGCAACCCUUGUUGUCAGUUACUAACAGGUUCCGCUGAGGACUCUGACAAGACUGCCAUCGUAAGAUGUGAGGAAGGUGGGGAUGACGUCAAAUCAGCACGGCCCUUACGUCCGGGGCUACACACGUGUUACAAUGGGGGGUACAGAGGGCCGCUACCACGCGAGUGGAUGCCAAUCCCAAAAACCUCUCUCAGUUCGGACUGGAGUCUGCAACCCGACUCCACGAAGCUGGAUUCGCUAGUAAUCGCGCAUCAGCCACGGCGCGGUGAAUACGUUCCCGGGCCUUGUACACACCGCCCGUCAAGCCAUGGGAGCCGGGGGUACCUGAAGUGCGUAACCGCGAGGAGCGCCCUAGGGUAAAACUGGUGACUGGGG
rnacentral:rRNA from 1 species